UUUAUUGCAGGUACCGUAUGAAUAAGGACCGGCUAAUUCCGUGCCAGCAGCCGCGGUAAUACGGAAGGUCCGGGCGUUAUCCGGAUUUAUUGGGUUUAAAGGGAGCGUAGGCCGGGUUUUAAGCGUGCCGUGAAAUGUCGGGGCUCAACCUUGACACUGCGGCGCGAACUGGAGUCCUUGAGUGCGCGGAACGUAUGCGGAAUUCGUGGUGUAGCGGUGAAAUGCUUAGAUAUCACGAAGAACCCCGAUUGCGAAGGCAGCAUACGGCAGCGCUACUGACGCUGAAGCUCGAAGGCGCGGGUAUCGAACAGGAUUAGAUACCCUGGUAGUCCGCGCGGUAAACGAUGGAUGCCCGCUGUUGGCGAUAUAUUGUCAGCGGCCAAGCGAAAGCGUUAAGCAUCCCACCUGGGGAGUACGCCGGCAACGGUGAAACUCAAAGGAAUUGACGGGGGCCCGCACAAGCGGAGGAACAUGUGGUUUAAUUCGAUGAUACGCGAGGAACCUUACCCGGGCUUGAACUGCCGGCGAACGAUCCAGAGAUGGUGAGGCCCUUCGGGGCGCCGGCGGAGGUGCUGCAUGGUUGUCGUCAGCUCGUGCCGUGAGGUGUCGGCUUAAGUGCCAUAACGAGCGCAACCCCUGUUCUCAGUUGCCAUCGGGUAAUGCCGGGCACUCUGUGAAGACUGCCUCCGUAAGGAGUGAGGAGGGUGGGGAUGACGUCAAAUCAGCACGGCCCUUACGUCCGGGGCUACACACGUGUUACAAUGGGUGGUACAGACGGUCGGCGUCCGGCAACGUACGUCCAAUCCGUAAAGCCGCCCUCAGUUCGGACUGGGGUCUGCAACCCGACCCCACGAAGCUGGAUUCGCUAGUAAUCGCGCAUCAGCCAUGGCGCGGUGAAUACGUUCCCGGGCCUUGUACACACCGCCCGUCAAGCCAUGAAAGCCGGGGGCG
rnacentral:rRNA from 1 species